UUAUAAUACUGCUACUUUCAGUUGGAAAUAUUUACUCCCAUGACUUCUACCAGCAUCUUACUUUACCCUCUUCAAAUGCAGACGAACUAAAUAGUUGUUAACUGCAUCAUUUUUCUGAUCAUCAAAGUUAGGCCUAUUGAUAUCACAUGACCAGAAAACAGGGAUGUGUGUUUCAACUUUCAACCCUGACCACAUGUUGAAAAGUUGCACAAAUUUUAAUUAAACUUUAUAGUUAGUAACUAAAAAAAAAAAUAAGUAAACUACGAUUUUAACUAAACUGUUUUUUUAAGUUUAACAAUGGCCUUGCCUUAAUAAAUUGUUUUUAGUUAAACUAAAAGUUUCUAGCUUUUUAGUUAAUUUUUGCCCAUCACUAAAUAUUAUUGUCUUAAACAUUUAAGCAAUUACAAUGCUAAUUUUCGUCAUUAGAAAAUGUUUCGAAAAUUAGUUGGGGUAAAUAUCAACCUUCCAUGAAAAAUUAUUUAACCGAGCGAUGCUUGGUAUUAAAUUUGACCCACAGAUUGAAGACUUCAUGAAUAAUUGUAAGAGAGUUCUAGUUUUGAUGUACCAGCAAAAAUGGAGAUCAUUAAAUCUGAUCAACCCUAAAGUAGUGUACUUUAUUAUCAUACUGUUUACAAAUGCAAUACGUGUAUCCGGUUUUAAAGAUUCUGAAAUACAUAUUUCCUUUUCCAAAUUCAUAUUUAUGCAAAGUGUUUGUUUUUUUCCAGCAUUUGUAGGUAUUAAAGAAUGUGCCAGUAUAUCUUCUGAUUAGAGAGUACAUUCCAUUGAUGGGAAUCAAAAUAAACUGCCUCGCUCGUUCAACAUUUUGUGUGCACGACAAGAGCUCCACACAUUGUACUCAACAAAGACUUAGCAUUGAUAUAGGCUCCCUGUGAACUGCACAACACGAAACUACCAACCAAAAGAACUUGACAACUAAAGGCCAUAAUUCCUAUCGUUACGUCCACUGCAUGCCUGUCGUUACGUCUACUGCCU